rnacentral:misc_RNA from 1 species
UUUCCGCAGGUGAACCUGCGGAAGGAUCAUUAUUGUAUAACCGAGGUGCGAGGGCUGUCGCUGACCCGAAAGGUCGUGCACGCCCGAGUGCCCUCACACACAUCCAUCUCACCCCUGUGUGCACCACCGCGUGGGUCCCCCUUUGGCUUGUUCGGAGGGGGGUUUACGUUUUCACACAAACUUUGUAUGCAGUGUAGAAUGUAUUUUUUGUUUUUGCGAUCACGCAAUCAAUACAACUUUCAACAACGGAUCUCUUGGCUCUC